rnacentral:rRNA from 1 species
GACGAACGCUGGCGGCGUGCUUAACACAUGCAAGUCGAACGGAAAGGCCCUGCUUUUGUGGGGUGCUCGAGUGACGAACGGGUGAGUAACACGUGAGUAACCUGCCCUUGACUUUGGGAUAACUUCAGGAAACUGGGGCUAAUACCGGAUAGGAGCUCCUGCUGCAUGGUGGGGGUUGGAAAGUUUCGGCGGUUGGGGAUGGACUCGCGGCUUAUCAGCUUGUUGGUGGGGUAGUGGCUUACCAAGGCUUUGACGGGUAGCCGGCCUGAGAGGGUGACCGGCCACAUUGGGACUGAGAUACGGCCCAGACUCCUACGGGAGGCAGCAGUGGGGAGUAUUGCACAAUGGGCGGAAGCCUGAUGCAGCAACGCCGCGUGCGGGAUGACGGCCUUCGGGUUGUAAACCGCUUUCGCCUGUGACGAAGCGUGAGUGACGGUAAUGGGUAAAGAAGCACCGGCUAACUACGUG